rnacentral:rRNA from 1 species
CCUACGGGGGGCAGCAGUGAGGAAUAUUGGUCAAUGGACGAGAGUCUGAACCAGCCAAGUAGCGUGAAGGAUGACUGCCCUAUGGGUUGUAAACUUCUUUUAUAUGGGAAUAAAAUGUUCCACGUGUGGGAUUUUGUAUGUACCAUAUGAAUAAGGAUCGGCUAACUCCGUGCCAGCAGCCGCGGUAAUACGGAGGAUCCGAGCGUUAUCCGGAUUUAUUGGGUUUAAAGGGAGCGUAGGUGGAUUGUUAAGUCAGUUGUGAAAGUUUGCGGCUCAACCGUAAAAUUGCAGUUGAAACUGGCAGUCUUGAGUACAGUAGAGGUGGGCGGAAUUCGUGGUGUAGCGGUGAAAUGCUUAGAUAUCACGAAGAACUCCGAUUGCGAAGGCAGCUCACUGGCCUGCAACUGACACUGAUGCUCGAAAGCGCGGGUAUCGAACAGGAUUAGAUACCCCAGUAGUC